rfam:Rothia mucilaginosa DY-18 DNA, complete genome.
GAUCAUGAGUCCCGGCGCUAAGCUCUGGCUAGCCGGGCGGCAACCCUCUCCCGUAGCGGGGUGCCCCAGAUGAUGAUCUGGCCUCAACGUUACGAGGCAAGUACGGCGC